AUGCUCUGCGAGAGGCCGCCCUGUGGGACUGGGGGCGGGGGGUCCCAUAGCUGUCCUUCGAGUUCCCAGCCUUCCCUCUUCCUAGCACCGUCUUCCUUCGGAAGCUGCCCUCUCGGAGAAGAAACGGGGCUUCUGACCCUCCUGGCCCCAGGCCCCACGUGUGACCUGUCAUCGGCCCUGGCCUGGACCUUCCUUUCUGGCCUGGCUGCAAGUGGGGGCCGCCGGCACUGCCGGCCCAGGCCAGCGCGCCACCACGACCCCGUUCCACGCCGGCACUGGGCUUCCUUGGCCUCUCGCAACCAUCGUUCCUGUGCGCCCCCCACGCUCCUCGCCUCAGCGAAGCCGGCCGCAGGUGCGCCGGACGUAGGAGGCCUGCAGACCCUGAGCUGAGCUCGGAGUCAGGAGAUCCCCAGCAAAGCAGAGGUCUGGAAAGGCUGCCGCGGGGGCAACACUCGGUUCCGCCUUUGCCAACGUAAGAAGUGUGCGUGCGGAUGGAAGCAUGCUGUGCUCAGCCAUCCCGGGGGCUGUCCUUGCCCUCGGGGCUCAGAUGGGACCUCAGCAGGACCAUGGAGGGUGUGUUGGGGCGCGCCUUGGUCGUCCUCUUACAGAGACUUCUGGAUCUAAGAUAAACACCAAAAAGUAAAGCAGAAGGAAACAUGCAUCCGGAAUGGGGGCGACAGGACCCACCCUGAGCUCCUGCACCGGCUUUACCGACACCGUGCCGUUGUUCACGCUCUAGCCCUCGGUCUGGUUCAAGAGCAGAACCGUGGAGACUGAUGGAGACAUGCCCGCAAACAACACUGAGGAAGGCCGAUAGCUGAGACGAGGGAGAAGCACGUAGAUGCAUACGUGUGUGUGUGUGUGUGGGCACACGCGUGGUCUGCACACGUGUAGGUGUACGAAUGUAUCUGUCUGUCUUCCACCUCUGUCUGUCCAUCCAGCCUUCCAGCCAUGAGUGUGUCAGGACACACAGACACACAGACACACACACCACACAGCAGUCAUAAGAACCGAAAAGGAAAUUUGGGAAAUCCCCUCUAUUCUUCACAGCCCAUAAGGACGUUGGCAUCUAUGGAACAAGAUGCCGGUGGAUUGUUCCGGAAAUGACUGGGCUGUCAGGAGAGCACCCCGGUGUUUUAGAAGGAAAGAAGCCUAUGAUGCGCUUGCUACAAUUUUUAUUCCAAAAUGGGUAUACAUUUUUUUUCCCUCAAAUUUUUGUAUUUGAAGAAUUUGUCUUUGUUUGCCUAGACACACUGCUGAGGGGUGUUGAUGAAACGGUAAAAAGAAAAAAAAAAAAAAGAUGAAAUGAUAAAAAAAAAAAUACAAAAAAAGCAAUGGUAUCCAUAGCGCAUCCGCUGUGUGCCCGGGGGUGAGCGAGGACUUCUGCGUGCAUCCUCACACCGGGGCCGUCACUGUCCCCCUGACCUGCUGGGGACCCGUCCAUGUAGAGGGUCUAGCCCUUUGCCCAGGGCUCUGCAGCUGGGAGACGACACAUCUGGGAACAAUGCACCCUGUUUCGUUAGGGCACCGGCAGCCUCCACCUGCCGGCACGGCCGUUCCCCGGAGCUGAGAGCCACUGUUGCCCAGGAGACGUGGGGAAAUGUGGUCCUUGGCACCAGCCCCACCCCAGCUCAGCCGCGAGCCCUGGGAGCCUUUACGCCCGACUGUUUAAGAGUUCAGCCAAGCAGAGAAAGGCCGGGCCUCCUACUUGCUUUAAUCCCCUCACCGUUAAUUGUCUGGCUGCAUUUUCUUCAAGAGGUAACAAAGGGUAAAAUCCAUGCAGUUGCUUUUCUGUGUAGCUGGUUGUAAAUAUUCAGCCAGAAUUUGACUGACAGUGCAAUCUUAUGUUCCCCAAAGCUUGUGCCGUAUGUGAAUAUUUUAAUUAGGAUUGUAACAAGCUAUUGAGAAAGUUUGAGCUAAAUUGGUUCAGCUGUUUUUGCAUUAGUGAAGCAUGAAAAGAAAUUUUUUUUCAUCUAUUAGAAAAUAUCCCUUAAAAAAAUAAAAAAAACAAAACGAGCCAAACCAACUGAAAAUCAGCCAGUUUGGGAUACUUCUUUAAAGUCAGCAGAUUGGCUCUCGGUUGGGAUUAACUGCACACAUUUGAAAAAUGUGAAAUUUAGUUCA
rnacentral:lncRNA from 1 species